rnacentral:lncRNA from 1 species
CCUGGAAGAGGCACGUUCUUUUCUUUGUUGCCGUUGGGGUGCUGGACUUUGCACACCACGUGUUCGUCUGUGCCCUGCAUGACGUCCUUGGAAGGCAGCAGCACCUGUGAGGUGGCUGCGUACUUGCCCCCUCUCAGGACUGAUGGGAAGCCCCGGGUGCUGCUGAUGUCAGAGUUGUUCUUGUAUUUCCAGGAGAAAGUGAUGGAGUCGGGAAGGAAGUCCUGUGCGAGGCAGCCAACGGCCACGCUGCUCGUAUCCGACGGGGAAUUCUCACAGGAGACGAGGGGGAAAAGGGUUGGGGCGGAUGCACUCCUGAAGAGACGGUGACCAUUGUCCCUUGGCCCCAGAUAUCAAAAGCAUCACACAGGGACACAGUCCCUGUUCGUGUCUUUCGCACAGUAAUAUACGGCCGUGUCCUCGGCUCUCAGGCUGUUCAUUUGCAGAUACAGCGUGUUCUUGGAAUUGUCUCUGGAGAUGGUGAACCGGCCCUUCACGGAGUCUGCGUAGUAUGUGCUACCACCACUACCACUAAUAGCUGAGACCCACUCCAGCCCCUUCCCUGGAGCCUGGCGGACCCAGCUCAUGGCAUAGCUGCUAAAGGUGAAUCCAGAGGCUGCACAGGAGAGUCUCAGGGACCCCCCAGGCUGUACCAAGCCUCCCCCAGACUCCACCAGCUGCACCUC